rnacentral:rRNA from 1 species
GAGUUUGAUCCUGGCUCAGGACGAACGCUGGCGGCGUGCUUAACACAUGCAAGUCGAGCGAUGAAGCUCCUUCGGGAGUGGAUUAGCGGCGGACGGGUGAGUAACACGUGGGUAACCUGCCUCAUAGAGGGGAAUAGCCUUUCGAAAGGAAGAUUAAUACCGCAUAAGAUUGUAGUGCCGCAUGGUACAGCAAUUAAAGGAGUAAUCCGCUAUGAGAUGGACCCGCGUCGCAUUAGCUAGUUGGUGAGGUAACUGCUCACCAAGGCGACGAUGCGUAGCCGACCUGAGAGGGUGAUCGGCCACAUUGGGACUGAGACACGGCCCAGACUCCUACGGGAGGCAGCAGUGGGGAAUAUUGCACAAUGGGGGAAACCCUGAUGCAGCAACGCCGCGUGAGUGAUGACGGUCUUCGGAUUGUAAAGCUCUGUCUUUAGGGACGAUAAUGACGGUACCUAAGGAGGAAGCCACGGCUAACUAC